UACGUAGGGGGCGAGCGUUGUCCGGAGUUACUGGGCGUAAAGGGCUCGUAGGCGGCCAACUAAGUCCGACGUGAAAUCCCCAGGCUUAACCUGGGAACUGCGUCGGAUACUGGAUGGCUUGAAUUCGGGAGAGGGAUGCAGAAUUCCAGGUGUAGCGGUGAAAUGCGUAGAUAUCUGGAGGAAUACCGGUGGCGAAGGCGGCAUCCUGGACCGACAUUGACGCUGAUGAGCGAAAGCUAGGGGAGCAAACGGG
rnacentral:rRNA from 1 species